rnacentral:lncRNA from 1 species
CUAGACUAAGGUAUGUUUGAUGUUGUUUCAUGAGAUUCAUGCAUGUUUUUAGUUGUUAGUUUCAGUUCUACCUAGCCCAUGGUUUAAAUCUUUGCUAUGAGAUGGAGAUGAUAUUCGGCUAUGAGGGUUGUCUUCUUGGUUGGUGUUUGAUGUUGGGGUGAUGAGGCAUGAAGAUGAGUUAAGUUUCGGCUAAGGUGGAUUUGUUUUGAUGUCAUUUGCAUGCUAAGUGUAAAGCUUUGUAAUGAUACAUGUGAUGGUGUUUGAUGACUCUUGGAUUUUCUUUUUGGCAUUUU